CAUCACUACGCUAGAUGCAUAUCAAUAAGCGGAGGAAAAGAAACUAACAAGGAUUCCCCUAGUAACGGCGAGUGAAGCGGGAAGAGCUCAAAUUUGAAAUCUUAAAGGGUUUCCCUUUACGAAUUGUAGUUUAAUAGAAGUGUUUUCUGUUAGUGAGUUGGUCAAAAGUUCUUUGGAAUAGGACAUCAUAGAGGGUGAGAAUCCCGUAUUUGUACAGUUACUUUCUAGCUGUGUGAUACACUUUCAACGAGUCGGAUUGUUUGGGAAUGCAGUCCAAAAUGGGUGGUAAAUUUCAUCUAAAGCUAAAUAUUGGCGAGAGACCGAUAGCGAACAAGUACCGUGAGGGAAAGAUGAAAAGAACUUUGAAAAGAGAGUUAAACAGUACGUGAAAUUGUCAAAAGGGAAGCGUUUGACACCAGUGUUGUUUAGUUGAAAAUCAAUUCAAUAGUUUUUGAUUCUAAGUAGUAUUGACUUCAUCAGCUUGCUGCUUUCUUCUCAGAAAUUAUUGAAUGCACUUUUCAGUUAACAAGUCAACAUCAAUUUCUUUUGUUGUAAAAGGGUAAGAGGAAGGUGGCUUACGCUUCGGCGUAAGUGUUUAUAGCCUUUUACCUCCUGCAAUCGGAGAGAUUGAGGACAGCAGCGUAGACUCUUCGGGGGUUAGAUACACUUGUGCUAAGCUAUAGCCUUGUAUAGACAACUUGUUGACUAUGCUCAGCCAUGUAGCUUACUCGCUUGUGCUAUUUUACCUACGCUUAGGAUGUUGACACACGCGCGUGCUCG
rnacentral:rRNA from 1 species